AUGCAGUGCAAGAUAUGCAAAUUUGAACACCCUGCUCAGGAGGUCCUUUUAAAGCAUUACAGAUUGCGCCACUAUCAGGGAAGAAACCGCCAACUGCCCUGCCUCUACACAGAUUGCAUCUGCUCCUUUAAAACCACUGGAGCGUUGAAGUCUCACCUUUCAAGAUCACACAAGCGCUUAUCUUCACGUGAGAGUCACUUAAUAUUUAAUUGUGAAUUGUGUGACUUUAAGGAAAUUUGUAAAACACCUGAUUACUUCAAACAUAUUAGGAGCCAUUUAAAAAAUCAUGAAACUGUAAGGUGCCCUUUUAGCCAGUGUGAUUUUAAAACAAAUCUGAUUUCAUCAUUCAGUGGUCACAGAAGUCGGAAACAUCACAGCUUUUCCAUUACAAACUUUAGAGCAAAUAUCGUUAUUCAAAAUGCAGAACCAAAAGACAGUGAGCCACAAACUGCCCAGUUAUUUCCUGGAGACAGCCAUCCUCAUGAAACUGACAGGUACCCUCUUGAAGGGGAAAGUAGUUCUAUGCCUUAUCUUGAUGAGGCAACAGAAUCCGAGUUAGAAUCGGUGGAUUAUCUAACACUUGAAAGGAAAUUGGCUUCUUUGUUGCUACGCAUGCAAACUGUUUUGCAUAUUUCAAAGAGUGCAACACAGCAAAUACUUUGUGAAUUGAGUGAUAUUGUUUCAUUGACUGAGUGUGCUGCAAAACAGUCAAUCAAAAACAUUCUGAGGAAGUAUGAAGUGCUCACUGAUGAUCUAGUUGUUGAUGAGAUAAUCGGUGCAAUUUUUAAUUUAAAUCCACUGCUCACAAGCACCAGAAAAGGGGGAAGUCUUUCAACUGAAUACAGAAGAAAUGAAUACUUCAGAGAAAAGUUCACUGUCAUUGAUCCAAUUGAAUACUUUUAUGAUCGAGCACACAAGAACACUUUUGUGUAUGUCCCAGUAUGUAAAACUAUACAAGUUUUACUGAACAGGGAUGAUGUGUUUGAACAGCUUGUUUUUGAUGACGGCACUUUUCCUGGGCAAUACAGGUCAUUUCGCGAUGGGGAGUACUUCAAAACAAACAAACUUUUAGCAGGGCAAAACAGCAUCUCUUUGGGUGCUUAUAUUGAUGACGUAGAAAUUUGCAAUCCAUUAGGAACGUCGAAAAAAAUCCACAAAAUAACGGCAGUGUAUUGGGUGGUACUGAAUUUGCCAGCCCAGUUCCGUUCAAGUCUUUCCACAAUUCAGCUCGCUCUAUUAGGGAAAACUGAUGACGUGAAACAAUUUGGCUUUGACAAAUUCUUCGAUCCUUUUCUAAAGGAUUUAAGAACUCUUGAACAGGAUGGUGUACAUGUGAAAGCACUUGAUGACCAGUUGAAAGGAACACUAUUUUGUGUUUGUGCUGACAAUCUUGCAGCACAUGGACUAGCUGGCUUUCAAGAAAGCUUUUGUGUUGAACACUUUUGUCGGUUUUGCCUAGCUAGCAAAAAGGAGAUACAGACUAAAGAUUGCAGUCAUUUUGAACUGAGAAGAGCUGAACAGCACAAUCUCACUUUAACUGAACUUCAGAAAAGUGAUGGGAAAACAAGUCUUCUUGGCAUUAAAAAAGAAUGCAUUCUGAAUAAGAACUUGUCAUUCUUUCAUGCAGUGACCGGCUUUCCGCCUGAUGUCCUGCAUGAUUUUUUUGAGGGAAUUGUCCCAGUUGAGCUGUGUUUUUGUUUGAAGGAGUUGAUUUCCCAAAAAUACUUCACACUCAACGUUCUUAACACACGGAUCAAGGCUUUUCCUUUUAAGGAUUCUGAUAGAGUGAACAAGCCAAAGACAAUUGACAUAGCCAGCCUCAAAAAGGGAAGCAUAGGAGGGAAUGGGCACGAAAAUUGGGCCCUGCUACGUCUGUUGCCCCUUAUAAUUGGAGACCUUGUGCCUGAAAAUGCAGCUCCUUGGGAGAUUUUGAUGGAUUUAAGAGAAAUUGUUGAGUUGGUUGUAUCACCAAAGUUAUCUGAUGCAUCUUUGUGUUUUUUACAGAGAAAACUAAAUGAUCACAGGGACUUGCUCCUCAACACAUUUCCAGAAAUGACACUAAAGCCCAAGCAUCAUUAUGCUGAACAUUAUCCCCAUUUAAUCCGUUGCUUUGGGCCACUGUCAGAGCUUUGGACCAUGAGGUUCGAGUCUAAGCACAGCUUUUUUAAAAAGGUUGUGCAUGAUGUGCACAAUUUCAAGAAUAUUCUUGUUACCUUGGCCACAAAACAUCAGCUCACAAUGGCUUACUACUUUGAUGGUCCAAGUUUCUCCCCUCCUCUGCAUGUUGAACAACUGAAAGUUGUUAAAAUAAAUACUUUGAAUGCAGCAGUCAAAAGUGAAGUGAAAAAAACAUAUCCGCAUAGAGAAAUGGUAUCACUAGCUUCUAGUGUGAAAUUUCAAUGCAUCCACUACAAGGAAGGCAUGGUUUUAUCAGCUGGGGAGUGCAGUGGUUUGCCAGAGUUUCACAGAAUAAUGCACAUUCUUGUGGACUCCAGCAAAGUAUCUUUCCUGUGCCAGAAGCUUUCUGCUUGGUAUAUUGAGCAUUAUAGAUGCUUUGAGAUUGUUGAAACAACAGCUUUUAUAGUGCUUGAACCUCAAGAUCUGAAUGAUCAUUACCCUUUAACAGCAUACAGGGUUGGAGGGAAAAUGCUGAUUGCUCUGAAGAGGUUUUUACUACAUUGA
ensembl:lncRNA